rnacentral:tRNA from 1 species
GGGCACGUGGUCUAGUUGGUCAUGACGCUUCCCUUACAAGGAAGAGGCCGACGGUUCGACUCCGUCCGUGCCCA